rnacentral:rRNA from 1 species
CCUACGGGUGGCUGCAGUGGGGAAUAUUGGACAAUGGGGGGAACCCUGAUCCAGCCAUGCCGCGUGUGUGAAGAAGGCCCUCGGGUUGUAAAGCACUUUCAGUGAGGAAGAACGCCUGGUGGUUAAUACCCAUCAGGAAAGACAUCACUCACAGAAGAAGCACCGGCUAACUCCGUGCCAGCAGCCGCGGUAAUACGGAGGGUGCGAGCGUUAAUCGGAAUUACUGGGCGUAAAGCGCGCGUAGGUGGCUUGAUAAGCCGGUUGUGAAAGCCCCGGGCUCAACCUGGGAACGGCAUCCGGAACUGUCAAGCUGGAGUGCAGGAGAGGAAGGUAGAAUUCCCGGUGUAGCGGUGAAAUGCGUAGAGAUCGGGAGGAAUACCAGUGGCGAAGGCGGCCUUCUGGACUGACACUGACACUGAGGUGCGAAAGCGUGGGUAGCAAACAGGAUUAGAUACCCUGGUAGUC